ensembl:lncRNA
GCAGGCUCUGCUCUUGGCUGUUCACCACACAGCUCCAAAACAAACAACACACAACCAGCCACAAGACAUUCCCUCCACCAGCCUCAAAACACACACACACCAAAGGCCACCAGAAGACAAAAGAGACCACCACACCAGCCUGCCACUGUACUGCCAACAACCAAAUAAAGCCAGACAGCUCCCAAGAAAAACCACCACCAAACCCAACAACCAGCACACCACAAAGCCAACUCCACCUUCCACACCAAAACCACCCAAGCCACUUUCUACCACCAGCCUCCUAACCAAAAAAAAACAGACAAGCCCCACCACAAGACCGCCAGCAAACAAGCCUGCCACAUCACCAACACAAACCUCUGACGCACCAAAGCCAGCCGGCCACCUAAGCAAACACAAACAGAGCCAAGACAGCACAACACCCCAGGCCUACCUGCUGGCUCUGCUCCUCCUCAUCGCAGCUCCCAGGAUCUCCAUCUUCCAUGCAGGAAAACAGCCACGCCAGGACCCUUAACUCCACUCCUCCGGGACAGGACCUGCCACGCACCUUCCACCCUGUCACAAAAGCACAUCAUCACCCACACAGCCACUGCCUCCGGCCCCGGGGCACCACCCACCUCACAGGUAACAUGCAGCUCACCUUGCUCCACAGGGGCGCCCCGCUCACACCGCCAGGAUCCUGCCUCCAGCCUGAACCUGCGCAGAGACCUCCACAAACCACCUCCAAGGGGGCGCUCCUGGGGGCAGCCCUCCACCACGAGGGCUCCCGCCUGGGGCUCCCCCUCUCUCACCUCCUUCAUCCCACCCCUGGGAAAACUGCACACCUGCUCCAGCCAAUCCUCUCUGCAGCCUUCACCCUGCAACAAGAGCACAGAUCACACAGCCAGACAGAAUGCCAAGGCCCCACUGCAAAGCGCCCGCACGCAACUGCAACGGGGCCCGGGGAACCGGACUCCGCAACCUCCCCGGGCACUCCUCUCCCAUCCCGCUCACAAGGAAAUCAUUCUUCUUCCUCUUGAAUGAGAAAUUCUGGUGAUACCAAACAUGCACACUGCCCCCCUACUGCCACACGCCACUCAUCCCCGUCAACUGGGCUCCUGCGCAGCAGGCAUUGCUAUCUGCCACCCUCCUCUCCUCUCACUGCACAAUCAAGACAACGCACAAAGCUACCUUUUGGUCCGGCAUGACUUCUCCUCUGUCCAUCCACCUGGACUGCUCCUUGCAAAUUCCUUCUCCUCCAGUCACAUGGCAAUGACACCUGCAACAAGCUGUUGCGUCACCUCCCCAGGAACAGAGGUGAGGCCAACCUACCUCCAAGUUGCACACGCCAUCCUCCACACCCUUUCUGAAGGCUGCGGUGGCAUCCGCCAUCCUCCAGUCUUCAGGUACCUUUCCCACAGGAAACAGCAGGGAAAAGUGACAGAGCUAUUGCCAGUCACCGCUGCCAGCUCUCAGCGGGCACAGACAUAGCCCUCUACAGCUCAGGCAUUUGCUGGCCUCCUUUCUGCCUGAACCACUUUUGACCAGCUCCUCCGCAACUGAGGGGAAGACAUCCUUCCUCAGGGACUCUCUCCUCCAGGACCCCAGGAGCACUCUCAGCAGAAACCACUGAACCCAAGAGGCCUCCGCCUCAGGCCUCAUUACUCAGGCCUCCGCCUUGUAAAGCGCAGGCCUGCAAUUUCUCCAGUCUCUCCUGUUGACAAACUUCCAUUAGCCUUGACCUCCCUCCCAAAGCUGAUACUCAGAGGGACUUGGCCUUCCUCAGCCUCUCUCUUCCUUCUCCCCUUCAAGUUCCUCAGUCAGCCCUGCAGGUCCCCCACCAUUCCUGCGCAGUUCCUUCCUCCUUGGGACGCAGCGCACCUCAGCAUGGACAAAGUAAUGCUCCAGCAUUCACAGGACCCCUUCCUAUGCUUGAGCAAGGGUUACCUCCAAGUAGGCCCUUCAAGAGGACAAACUUGGCUCCCUCUAAGUCCAGUGUUUCAAUCCUACUCAUUGCUUUGCAGCUUCCACACAAGAUCCCAAACGCUGUGGUCUCACGACUGGCACGCUCCAGGCUGCCCCUGGCCUUCCUGUCCCCAAAUGGCUCUUCUGCAAUAGGGAGCUCCAGCAGCCCCUCUCCUCAAUGCCUCCUUCGUCACCUGUGUCAGAAGAUCUUACCUUUGACACACUGCAGGAAACUCCUGGAGCCUACCAUGAGAACUGGCCUCACAGCUGUGGGCACCAUUUCCAGCUGUGUGCAGAAGGUCUAUCAGCUUCCUCACCCUGGUCUGUGACCAACACCACCACUCAGGUCACCCACUUUUACCUGCCUCUUCAGCCUCACGCACAAACGCUCCGCUGGUUCUUCAUUCACCCCCAGGUGGAGCUCGAUACGUUCCCGUUCUCUCCCUCGAAGAGAGACUCCACCGCCUGGCCGGUCUGUCUUUCCUAAAAGGCAGAAAGCCAUCCACGACAGCACUCCAGUCGUGCGAGCUGCCCUGCCAGGUCUCCACGGUGGGAACCUAAAUCGUGCUCCUGCAGUUACACGGGAAGGAAGAGGCGGGGAAAAAAAAAAAACCACGGUCCCAACCUGCUCGCUCCCACCGCUGGAAACGGGAUGGGUGAGAGCACCCGCAAAACCCUCCGCAGUGGCCGAGGCCACCCCGGGAUCGUGCUCGGUCUCGGGCGGCGGCCCCGUGCCGGUCCUACUAAAAAGCCACGCGGGAGCCCAGCGGCGGCGCCGUGCCGAUCCCAAAGACACGGAGGCAGUCGAGCAGCAACCCUACAGGAGCCCCAGCACGAGAGAUCUUACCGAGCGACUCUCAAACACUCACCGCUUCCACGAGCUCACUGCUUCGGGCCGAUGAGAGCCUCUGCUGCAGCCCACGCUCAGCCUGCAACACGAGAAACCUUUUGUUUCAGCAGCCCUUCGCCUCGCUUCUCUCUCCCGGCAGCACAGAGGCUGCACGAAUACGGCCCCAUCGCGUUCGCUCCUACCGAAGAGAGCCUGAAGAACUGAAGCACCCGCUGAAAGAAAUCCCGAGGGUGAGGGGGGCUGAGAGCACCCCGGGGCUGUGCGAGAACUCGGGGGUCUGAGCGGCAGCCGCCUCCGAAAACGCGACGGCAGCCGGGCGGCGGCGGCGGCGCCGUAUCGGCUCCGCACAGCCGGGGGAGCCCGGCGGCGACCUAACGCCGGCCCCGAGAAGAGCGGGGUCCGACAGCCGCCUGCUCCGGAGAUCCUGGCGGCUCCCGAGCGCUCGCCGUCCCCUUACUACCCGAACCGCUCACCUGUUUGGGCUGGUCCUUACCGCAAAAGGGCUCACAGCAGCCUGAAACAAAACGACACCACGAAAACAUUAAAGAGAACCUCAAGGCUCCGUCCCCCCCAAAAAACCCCGCGUACCGCUUCUCAGCCUCAGCAACACCAGGGCCCGACAAAGAAACAGAACCCCCGCCGUCGCCUAUCCACAACCGCAGAAACUCCCCCGUGGCUCCCGGCAGCCUCCGGAGGAGCUUAAGAGGCUUUGGGGCGGGCCCCGCCCGCGGCUCCCGACGAGGCGCAGCUGCGCCCGGCCG